rnacentral:rRNA from 1 species
GAAGGGGGCGAGCGUUGUUCGGAUUUACUGGGCGUAAAGGGCGCGCAGGCGGCUAUUUUUGUCAGGCGUGAAAGCCCCGGGCUUAACCUGGGAACCGCGCAUGAGACGGGAUGGCUAGAGAUCGGGAGAGGAGAGUGGAAUUCCCAGUGUAGAGGUGAAAUUCGUAGAUAUUGGGAAGAACACCGGUGGCGAAGGCGGCUCUCUGGACCGAUACUGACGCUGAGGCGCGAAAGCGUGGGGAGCAAACAGGAUUAGAUACCCUGGUAGUCCACGCUGUAAACGAUGUGUGCUAGACGUUGGGGAGCCUAGCUCUUCGGUGUCGCAGCUAACGCUUUAAGCACACCGCCUGGGGAGUACGGCCGCAAGGUUA